GCUCCAUUCUCUUGUCGUGAGUUUGAUUUUUUUCAGUCUUUUUCUUUUUAUUUAGUUAGGGGCUUUGCAGGCAGUAUGCCUUUAGGAUCCAUUUUCCUUUUUGCCUUGUACCAGCUCCCGAAACGACGCCGUAUUGCUUCCUGUUCCUUUCUUUCUUUCUUUUCUUUUAACUUUUCUGUCUUUUUCUGGUAACUUUUCUUUUCUUUUUUAAAUUCAUGCAUUUCAAAAGUCAAUUCAUACAAAC
rnacentral:misc_RNA from 1 species